AGGGGGAAAUGAACUCAACCAGGAAGCUAGAAGGGAAAGAAGGAUAGAGGGGAGAGAAAGAGAUAAUCUAUCCACAAAUCUAAUAUCUACUGACAAAUAGCAACCAACCCACCUGAAUGACCAACAACCAUCAACCUCACCUCGCAGGAAGUACCACCUCUGCUGAUUCCUGUUUGCUAUCCAAAUUCUACUGAACUGGACUGCUGGUGUAUUGGUGAAGUGUUUGUGAGUGGAUUGAGCUGUUGCCAUUGGCCUGUGAAUGAACUGCUGAUUUCCAGACAACACAGAUAAGAGUUCCUUCAAAGAACCCUUCCUAAACAGGUGACAGUUCAUGAAAGCUCCACUCGUGGACCUCUAUGCACAACUUGAUGGUCACUCAACAGAGGCAAGAAUCUCCUCUUGACAGUGCUGUUGGUCAGUCUCAUCCCUCAACAGUUGUUUCCUGUUCACCAAGUUGGGCUCAUGAGCCUUCACCUCCCUCCUACAGAUUAUGUUUCAAUUUGAGGUACCAUACAGCAGCAGAGGCAGACCUGAUAGAUCUUCACUUGCUGACAUUCACUUCCUAACUUGCUGCCUCACCCUUAGACAAGCAUGAUGUCCCAGCCAGAAGAGGAUGUUCAUCUACUACCCACUUCAAAGCACUGAUGUAUGCUAAGGGUUCAAUAAACAUCUGAAAAUAUUCAUCGCUG
rnacentral:lncRNA from 1 species